UGUCAGGCUGCUGGUUUAUCAUCAAAAAAAAUUCUCUCUUACUUUCAGAUAAGGUCUUUCCUCCCGGUACAACUCCCGCAUUUACGUGAGUGCCUCUUCCCUUUUAUGCACGACACAAUGCAAACCUAAAAUAACAAAUAAAAACAAAGAAAAUAAUUAGAAAUAAAAUAUGUAAGUUUCCUCCCAUGAAGUGCUUCGUUCAACAUCGCAUGUCUCGACGGUUUACCACACUAUCCAUGUGGAUAAAC
rnacentral:lncRNA from 1 species